CCGGUCUUACCAACCGGAAAUCGCGCAACCCCCGCUACUCUAACCUCGAGGGGGGAUUAGUGUCCACACGCUCUCAAGGGUGCAAACCCAUGCAUGUGCUCACGGUACCGUGAGGCCCAGGCACUCCUACAAUUCCCAGCUCCGCGUCGCUACUCCUGGCCGCUAAGUCCAAGCUCCCGCCCAAUCCUCGAUGAAAUUCUCACCUACGAGCGAAUAAGAAAACAACAGAGCACAGGGCGGCAGCAGGGGAGUGUCACGAACAAGAGCGAAGGAACAUGUUAGCGCGGCGGCGCGCGACGAGCAAGAGCAAACACGCAGCCCAGUCCCAGCCCAAUUAACUAUACUAGGGGUUGCGCGAUUUAGGAAAGAGACGGAGGGUGGGCGACCACGAGCAAGUAAACAGGCGGGGGACGGCAUGGGCGCAUGCAUGACGGCAAAUGCAAAUGGGGUGUCAGCACCAUGGGCUGGCGGGGGAAAAACCCCCGCUCCCCACUCCAUGGUGUGACGGAGGCGGCACACGCUAGGUACUCCCCUCAUGCGGCCAUGUAGCACCAGGUCCAAGUACACGUACAGCUUAUGGGGACGUCGAUGCCGCGGGGCAGCGGCACGGGGAGGGCGGGCCCAAAGUCAGUACAGGUUAUGGCGCAAAUCAGAGGAACGCGACAAGCAGGAGGAACACGGCGCGCCCGAGGCGCCACAAGGCCCCCAGCCCGGUCCCCGACCCCGCGGAACGGGCUCCAGGCCUAGUGCCCAAAACUCCGACAAGAUAGCAAUUUUCGGUAGCAUCGUCCAGACGCGACGGCACGCAGCACAGCACUGAGUAGGACGCCGAAAAUUACCCUUCGACAGAUUUGUGAGCAUAGGGCAAUUUCACCACCAGAAAUUGUCCAUACACUCACAAAUCAAGUCGCCAAAACACGAGCCCUAGAGGCCCCGGCACGCCCGCGGGACAUGAACCGGCUCGCGCACUUGUGUUAAAGAGCACAAGGAAAACGUUGCGCAAAGACAGUGUAUGCGAUGCAGCAAAGCGACGGUUUACGGAUGUUACCUGAAGUUACCUCGCAUACCUGCUGCGGUGAGCCGCCGGUCUUACCAACCGGAAAUCGCGCAACCCCGCUACUCUAACCUCGAGGGGGAUUAGUGUCCACACGCUCUCAAGGGUGCAAACCCAUGCAUGUGCUCACGGUACCGUGAGGCCCAGGCACUCCUACAAUUCCCAGCUCCGCGUCGCUACUCCUGGCCGCUAAGUCCAAGCUCCCGCCCAAUCCUCGAUGAAAUUCUCACCUACGAGCGAAUAAGAAAACAACAGAGCACAGGGCGGCAGCAGGGGAGUGUCACGAACAAGAGCGAAGGAACAUGUUAGCGCGGCGGCGCGCGACGAGCAAGAGCAAACACGCAGCCCCAGUCCCCAGCCCCAAUUAACUAUACUAGGGGUUGCGCGAUUUAGGAAAGAGACGGAGGGUGGGCGACCACGAGCAAGUAAACAGGCGGGGACGGCAUGGGCGCAUGCAUGACGGCAAAUGCAAAUGGGGUGUCAGCACCAUGGGCUGGCGGGGAAAACCCCGCUCCCCACUCCAUGGUGUGACGGAGGCGGCACACGCUAGGUACUCCCCUCAUGCGGCCAUGUAGCACCAGGUCCAAGUACACGUACAGCUUAUGGGGACGUCGAUGCCGCGGGGCAGCGGCACGGGAGGGCGGGCCCAAAGUCAGUACAGGUUAUGGCGCAAAUCAGAGGAACGCGACAAGCAGGAGGAACACGGCGCGCCCGAGGCGCCACAAGGCCCCAGCCCGGUCCCGACCCGCGGAACGGGCUCCAGGCCUAGUGCCCAAACUCCGACAAGAUAGCAAUUUCGGUAGCAUCGUCCAGACGCGACGGCACGCAGCACAGCACUGAGUAGGAC
rnacentral:lncRNA from 1 species